GUGCUCACUUUAGCAGCACAUACACUAAAAUUGGAACGAUACAGAGAAGAUUAGCAUGGCCCCUGCGCAAGGAUGAUGCUAAUUGAAAUUCCAAGAUAUG
ensembl:snRNA U6 U6 spliceosomal RNA